UCCCCGUAUCCCCCGUCGCGGGGGCCGGGCUGGGGACCGCGGAGUUCGGGGCCCCGCGCGUGUCUCCCGGCCCUGGGCCGCCCGCAGGCCCUGCCGGCGGCGGCUGCGCUGGUGGCCCGGGCGCAGGGAUCAGCGGCCUUUGAGGAUGUGGCCAUGACCUUCCCUUGGCGGUCCUAGCUCAACACAUUGAGCCCAAAGGCCACUGUACCAGGAGGUGAUGCUGCAGACCCGGAUGCCCUUCUCUCACUGGCAAGCCACUGAUUGGAAGAAAAGGAGGAUGGUCCCAGACACGGACCUGGUGACUGUGGUCUACCAUUGGCUCCAGCAAGUGUGAUUUUGAUGAAGUAAGUUUACUAGAUGUGAUACCCUUGACAUCAUCCAGAAAUGGUUAUAUAUACUGAGCAUUGGAAUGUCAGAUGAAUACUGCUUUUGAGUCUUGUAUUUCAUUUAAUCUAUUUAUAAGUACUAUUUUGCAAAGGAAAAAUCUAUUACCUCCUGAGGUCAUAUUAAUAACUACUUAUCUGUGUGUUUGCAUGACAUUAUGACUAAUGGUUUAAGAUUACUUCAUUCCC